GAAAAAGCAAGAAGUUGUGGUAGAGAAAACCGGAGGCCCUGCUGAGAGCUAUGAUGAUUUCACUGCAUCCUUGCCUGAGAGUGAUUGCCGAUAUGCUGUCUAUGACUUUGAUUUUGUGACAUCUGAGAACUGCCAAAAGAGCAAAAUCUUUUUCGUUGCAUGGUUAGUCUCUUGAUAUCAUUUACUACUAUAGAAAUUGCAUAUUAUAUUAACUCAUUCAAAUUUUCCUACGUUGAUUUCUGUUUAGACUGAUUUAUGCAUGUGGGUAUAGCAUUUUACUGUUGCAUCUAUGUGGCGUGCCUCAAAUCUUGAAAUACAGAUAAAUUAUGCAAGCCUAAGACGUCUUAGGGCAUCAUGCCACUUUGCUCAUCUAAAGAGGAAUCUGGUAAAGUGGAAGCUGAUGAUACAAUUUAAAUUCUCUAUAAUGCUGUAAUUCUCUAAUAUAUCUAUAUAUGAUUCCAAUUGUUUACUAUGAUCGUAAUUUUUUCCCUGAUACACCAAUGAAGUUUUAUUGAAAUGAGUACAAGGGUUGCUUAAACCUCUAAAAGAACCAGACCAUAUAAAUCAAAAGCAGGUCCACAACCAUCCACAUUGUCUGAUACAAGUAAAAGGUUCCGUUUACCAAUCAGAAAACAAACAAGGAACCCCUUUUAUUCUUCUGAGAAACCAUGACUGACAUUAAGCAAUAUGAGAUCCAUCAACCCACACAUAUGGAAGGUCAAAUUUUGGAAAAAGUCUUAUUUUUACAACAAACAUAUUAACAGCAUAUUAGAAAAUAUGCCAAGCGUACUUUCUUUCCUCCAACAUACUUCCGGGCCAAAGAUAAUGAACUUGACCAGGAUGAGGCAUAACUACAGAAAUUCUAGCCAAGUGUUAAUAAAGAUUACACCUGACAAGACAUGGAACACAAUGAUUGUCUUUGACUCCCCUCCAAUAAUAAAAGGGUCUUUGAAGAAUGAUGGGCCUAACCGUGUAUCAUACAAAACUUAGCCUUCUCUCUACUCCUUAACCUUCUCUUUACUGAGAGAUGUGAGAGGAAAAUGCUCCUAUUUCCAACUAUAAAAAACCAUAAAGGUUGAACACCUGCGACACAUUCAAUUCUAUGUAACACUACACUUUGAAACAUCCAACACCAUCAUCCUAAUGUAACCAAUAUUUUAUUACUAAGAAUACCUACUUUUAUUCUUCUUGUCAUGGCCUAUAAACACACUAGAGGCAGAGACCCAACCAAACAAGUACUUUGACAGAUUCUUAAAUCUCAAUUUUUUGCGUGUAUGUCAAAUUCCGAUAUCUUUUGCAUUCUCUAGUGUAGAAACUUGAAAGGGUUUCUGUAUAUAUUAUUUUGUGAAAAAUGCUCAACAAUUUAUGAGGUAGCUUGUAGCUGCCCCAUUGAAGCUCUUGUUUUAGUUUUCAGUGUAUUUUUUUUUCUUUGGAUUGUUUAUCCUUAGAUUAUUACUUACCUAGAUCUUUGCCAAUCCUAAAUGUUGCUAGAAUAGUAUACAAAGAACAGUGAAUAAAAUAAGUUUGAAUGACUGAACCGUUUUCUCUAGACUCUACUUAUUGGAAGUACAAAAUUUGGAAUAUUUUUCUUUUCUUGAAGUCAGGGGAUGGAAUUUAGAUCCUGGUAAAGCUAUAAAGUUUCUCCUUGUUUGUGAUUCGGAAAAAAGGAAUGAACUUAGUAUAAAUCGAAUAUGUCUAGUCAUUAGUUGGCAUGACAUGAGAGUUGGUUUUCUUUAUGGUUAUUUUGUUGUUGUAGAAGGACUUCUAAUCUUUUGAUUUGGGAUCCACGUGAUAUUUGGCAUGUGCAAGUCGACAAAAACUUAUUACUGGAGUAUAUAUUGUUAUGUUUUCAAAUGGAGUAAGGUGAGUUGUAAUGGAAUUGUUUACAUAUUUUCAAGCAAAAUUGAAGUUUAAUUAAUACCUCGUUGAAUUGGGGACUGAGUUUAUUUUUCCUUGACUGCUAGACCUAUCCACUGGCAUGUUGCUUUGUCAGCUCUGAGACUUCUUUUUUGCGCUUAGUUGUUUUUCCCCAUAUUUCCAGUAGCUGAUAUGUUCUGUGGUCAUCACUAAACGUAUGUGAUAGUUUUUUAUUACCUUUCACUUCACGUGAACUCGUGUUAAGGGUCUGUAUAUGGUAUCUUAAGCCAUCUGCUCAGUUAUUUCUUUAAUUUUGUAUUGUUAAUAUUUUUAGGUGUUUCGAUUAUUUUAUAAAUUGACUAUGAUAGCAAGAUAGCAGCCUUGAAAGAAUUGUCUGGUCAGUGUCAAAAUAUGACUCAGUUACUUUCUACUAGCUUAUCUUGACAUUUGCAGAUAAAAUUUACCUUCUGUUUACUGCUGUUGGACUAAAUCAGAGGAAGUUUCUCUCAAACAUUUUGGCCAUCUGUUAUUGCCUUUAUUCUUCUAGUUUACGGUUUAUGAAGAGAUUAUUU
rnacentral:lncRNA from 1 species